rnacentral:ncRNA from 1 species
UUGGCGGCGGAGGAAGACUCGGCAUGAAGGCCAGCCGCCCGGUGGUGUGGUACGUAGUGGUAAUAGUACGCGCCCCGCUCCGAAACAAAGAAAAAGGUGCGUGCCGCACUCACGAGGGACUGCCAGUGAGAUACUGGAGGAAGGUGGGGGGGACGUCAAGUCCGCAUGGCCCUUAUGGGCUGGGCCACACACGUGCUACAAUGGCAAUGACAAUGGGAAGCAAGGCUGUAAGGCGGAGCGAAUCCGGAAAGAUUGCCUCAGUUCGGAUUGUUCUCUGCAACUCGGGAACAUGAAGUUGAAAUCGCUAGUAAUCGCG